UCGCCGCCCUCCCUGCUGGUGUGACAAGUGGAAACAGCAACUCCCCUUCCUCCUCCCCCUCCAGCCUCCCGGUUUGGGAGGUAAUGUUUCACAAGGGUUUCCCCGCCGUCCGCAGUGGACCUGCCAACCGGGAGGCAGCGGCGGGGGACGCAGCGACCCGGGGCAGGGGGCCGGGAGCCGGCGAGGCCGGGCCCGGCGCCGCGCCUACCUCGUCCACGGUUGCUGCCAGACGGCAGGGCUGUCCCGGAGUGCCGAGCCCGGCCGGCGCUAGGAGGAUUGGAAAAGGGGGCUCCCCUCGGCUCCUUUACCCUUUGAAUCUGUUCUCAACUGUACCCCAGUUGCUGCAGUGCUCUGUCCAGCCACUCUGGUGGCUUCUGGAACCAAGAGGAGUCAUCCACUUCCAAAGAGCCUUGAAGGUGUUGCUAUCAUCACCAUGGAUGCUACACUCUACAGUUACCGAUCAUCACAUAUUAAAAAGUGCGGGUAGGGCACAAAGAGCAAAAAGAGAAACGAAGAAUAAAGUUCCAAGUGAGGAAUGACACGACCAAAAGGAAAAGAAUAUUAGCCGACACAUGUCUAUGACAGCAUAUAUUCUCACAUGGGUGACACCCUAUGAAGGCAGGGGUUCUCAGAACGCGAGAUGGGGCGGUGCACAUCUACAUCAAUCAUCUGAGGAGCUUUUCAACCCACUAUCCUCACCGGAAUAAGGAUGAUGCGCCCCUCCCUCACACUGAAACCUCUUCUCAGUUUGUGAGAAAAAACUGUAAGGUUCUGACCUACCUCUAAAUAGAAUUUGAAAGAGAAAUGUGUCAAGGCUCAUUGAGAGUCUUAUUCCCCACACAGAGCCAUUCUAGACAACUCUUUACCUUUCUAGACAACCCAGAACACUGAUCUGGACUAUUCAUUUUGGCUCUUGUUUGUAUGCCAGUGUAGCCUCUAUAUAUAAAAUGUCAUAUACUGUACUGUAAGUGUUUCACCUCUCCUCUAAUUCCCCAACACAAUGGUAAGCUUCCUGAGGAGACAGACCAUGUCCUACUGUGUCAUCUGGAAAAUAUAGCCUGGUGUGAGAGGUAUUGUAGAUACCUGAUAAAGGCCUAUUAGAUGUCUGCAUAUUUGAGUUCAGGGUUCUUAAACCUUGGUACCAUUGACAUUUGGUGACAGAUAAUUCUUUGUUUGGGGGGGGGGUCACUGUAGGAUUCAGCAGCAUCCCUGGUCUUUACACACUGACUAUCUGUAGCAACCCUCCCCACCCACACACAUUGCCAAAUAUGGGGCUGGGUAUGUAAGGGGGAACUCCUGCAGUGGAGAACUACUACAUUAGUGUGACAUUCAUUAAUGUUAUCUAAAUGUUUAGCUGCUUGAAAGAAACUUUUGAAGAGACUGACUUUCAAUUUGUUAAAAUUAGGGCUAAGGAGGCAAGGAAUAAAAGAAAACUGUUACAUCACUGUGAUAUACAGUGUCCACAUCUCAUUCCCAUGCUAUGCUUUCUAUUAGCAAAGCCCUUGAUAAAGGGCUUAACUCUAACAUCGAUCACUUGAUUAAGGCAAUGUCUGCCAAGUAUUUCCACUGUGAAGUGUCUAUCUUUCUCUUUGCAUACUCUGUUCUUUGGAAGCCAGUCAUUAGGCACAGCCCACACCCAAGGGAGCAGAAGUGAGCCCCACCUCCUGGGGGAGAGUGUCUACAUAUACAGUGUGGUAUUCUGCAAGAUUUGUCCCUUGUCCCUCAUUUGUGUAUUCAUUCAAUUACUUACUCAUAUCAGUGGGGACUCAUGCAUAUUUCCUCUGUACUUUGAGUUAUAAUUCAUUAGUACAUUAUUUUUGUUGCUUAGAUUGUUCUAGCUUUGGUCAUUGGUGGCUCUUCCAGGCUGGUUCCUGGGUCCUUUUGACAUGCCCACCCUAUUUUUAAGGGUGAUUUUAGAAAAUCAAAUGUUAUCCUUUGCAGUUAAUUUUUUUUUUCAAAUGUUAUUUAAUUCCAGCAAAGUCUAUGUCUAGGUAUGCCUCUUUGUGUGUGUAUUUGUGUUUAACACCUGUGUGUCUGACCUUGUUAGAUACUAAGCAAAUGUUAAAUUCAUUCUUCAUAAAACUACACAAAGCAAGUCCCAAGGCAAUUCUUAUGUGUAGACCCAUUUAUCAGGCCUCUAUUAAAUACAGAGAAUGCCUUUGAUGUGUAAUUGCUUAUAGCUGUACAGUAAAUGCUCAUAAAAUAAAAAUUAAUUGACAAUGAUGUAGCAUAUAUUGCCUCACGUAGGAAAAAAACCUGUAUGUUCCAUGGCCAAAUGUAUGGUUUUGUCUUUUUUUUUUUUUAAUACAUGAGCUAGUAAUAAAUGUUGUCAAAGUUUCACUUUU